GUGGGUCAAAGUCCGACCCUCAGGCAGCUGCCAGAGCCACACCUCCCACUCCUGUGACAGAUGCGGUAACCAUUCCAGACAGGAAUCAAGAGAUGCUGGCUGGAAGGACCACCACCGGAUCGCAGAGGUUCCACUCCAACCCACCAGCGCCAAUGUGGCCCUGAGCCCCAGACGGACGGGAAGAGGACGCCAGCCUGCGGUGGCCAGACGCAGAUUAAACACCAGACGCCCAGCAGACAACAGAAGGAACUACAAUUGCGCCUGCCGCCCCACGCUUUAUCAGCAAUAUCUGGCCACGCCUGACAGCCGUGCCGACAGCCUCCCGGCAGGACUCAAUCCCCAGGGCCCUGAUGUUUUUCUACUCAAGCUCUGUAUUUGU